GGCAGUUCUUGGGUGACACACCCCAAAAUUGGGCUCCCUCCUCUCUGGUUCCGGGUGCAUCACCCGAGAACUGCA
rfam:Myotis davidii contig45552, whole genome shotgun sequence.